AAAAAUAAAAUCUAAUAUUAAUAGUUAUAAAAUCUAAUAAAUAAAAAUACAUGAAAUUUAAUAUAUAUUAUGACUACAAUAUCCAUUUAAAUCAUACAAAGUACAACCACCCUAAUAGCUGAAAUAUACAAACUACACCAUCGCCAAAUUCUGCAAGACAUCUUAAGAUAAGCAAUCACCAAAAACACUUGCACCGAAGUCCAACAUAUAUUCCAUAGGGAUACUUACAUCAUUCCGCUACAAGAUCCAAAUUCUUCACUACCUAAAAACAAUAAUCCACAAAUAAAAACCAAUUUCAGUUUACAGCACAUGUAAUUAACAAAUACAAUUAAUCACAGAAUGUGGCAUUGCUAUCUCCAACAAGUAUUGUAUAGCAGAAAAGGGUCUAUGAAUGUUGCAAGUUUCAUGCCAUUCAAUAAUAAUGAAAUUAUUGAAAUAGUUCCUAAAAUAAAAGCACAAAAACAAAAAAUUUACAGCAUGAGUUGAUAUUUUUAUUAAAUAGAAAAGAGACUAUCUCUCCCAAAUUUAAUUCAUAUGCCAGAAAAGAAGGCAAUCCAUCGCAAAAUAUAAGAGCAUCACCCAAAGGCAAAGGAAAAAUAAAUAGUAAUUAAAUCACUUCUUUCUCUCUCUCUAAUAAAAAGUAAUAAAAUAUAAAUUAAAGAGAGAGAAAACACUUUACAAAAUUGAAGACAGAGAAGCAUUUUUUAUUUGAAGAAUCUUAGUUGUGGAGUGUUUUUGGAUUCUUAAAUGAUGAUGUGGCUUUUCAAAUAAGCAGUAAAAUCUUAUUUGAAAGGGCUUUUGAUGAUGCUCUAAUUAUGAAUGAGAAGCCAUUAAAAGCUAGAGAGCCUUGUUAUUUCUAAUUCUCUAUAUUUUCAUGCUGCAACCACCAGUAAAGUUAGGAGAGUCAAAACAAUGAAAUAUAGCUGUGAUUUUCAAAAGGUUAUGUUGCCAAAAUUGCAGGUUUUGUAGCUAAUAAAGUUAAAGAAAAGCAACUUUAAUUUAUAUGAAUGAUAAAUAAUUUCCAGGGGUAGGAGAGACUGCAGACCAAAAAAUAUAAGGCUUGAGGCUUUAGCUUAGCUAGCUAACAUUUAUUUUAUCACAACAUAAUAUAUUUGAAGCAACUCUAACAAUUUGCAAAAUGUAGGAGCACAAACCUUUUUGAAAGUUAAUUUUCACCGAGUCAAGCUCCUUUUAAGUCAACCAUACAAGCAUAGAAAUUUAAGAUCAGUGCUCUGCAUAAUUGAGAAUUGGUCAGAGAACCAAAAAAAUGAAGGGUGAAAGAAAUUAAAGCAACUUACUAACACCAGGAAAGAAUUUUUCACAUAAAGCCUUUGUCUCAGCCUCUGUCUUGUGGGUGAGUCCAAAACAAAUUAGAAAGUACAUCUAAUAUUAAAGGUGCUAUUAUUAAAAUGACCCAUUGGAAAUCAAACAUCAUUAAACAAUGAUAUUACUUGUCUUAUUAGGUUAAAGUAACUGAACCACCAAGAAAGGAGGAAAAAAUGGAAAAAGUAUCAGGUUCUAACCAUUUUCUCCUAAAUUAUGCAGAGAAAAAUAGUAAUUGAACUAUACAAAUUUCUAAUAGACAUUUAAUCAAACAGAUUACAUGUGCCCAAAUCAUUCGAAAUUGUAAACCAAUUAAGCAUGUUAAAUCAUCAAUUGGCAUUCAAAGUUUCCGAAAUCAUGAUCUCUUAGACGAUAACAGGUAAAAUGUACAAGAUAAUUGAACUUGAAAAUUUUUCAAGAUAAAGCCAAACCCUAACCACCGUGACAGCCACGAGCCACCACUACCUUACCACUUCACAACAUAUCCAAUCACAUGUAAAUCAUACCCAAUCAAUUUCUGCACCCAAAUCUCAAUUUUAAAAAAAAAUUAAACUCACAGGUUUUAAUACAUAAACCCCAAUGUCAGUUUUAAUUUUUUUUCAAAAAAAAAUAAAAAUCAACAACCUUACCUGAAUAUCGAUUGAUUCAUCAAGCAGCAAAAUUGAAAAAAAAAAUUGAUGCUCACAAAUUUCAUUCAUUUGGUAUGGCCCAGCAACCAAAAAUUUAAAAGAAGAAAACAAAUAAGAACAAGAAUAAGGGAUCUUACUGGUUCGAACGGCGGUGGUAGAACUGCUUGGGGUGACGACCAAAAGAUGAAGAGACUAAUAAACAACGUCAAACGAGUGUGCAAUCAAACGUGACGGUUUAAACCGCGGAAGAAUGGUGGCGUUUUGAAUGGCAAACUGGUGGAGAUUUUUUUAAUCGAUUGGGGGUGAAAUUUUAAUUCUAGCGUUCAAGUGAUGAGAGAGCGAGGCAAAUGGAGAGCGGCUUGGUAAAUGAGUAAGGCUAUGUUUGGUAUAAGUUUUCAAGUGGAAUUUUUUUUUUCUUUUUUCUUUUGAUAAGUUGGAUGAACU
rnacentral:lncRNA from 1 species